AUGUCUGCCCUAUCAAUUUUCGAUGGUAGGUGACCUGCCUACCAUGGUGAUAACGGGUAACGGGGAAUCAGGGUUCGAUUCCGGAGAGGGAGCCUGAGAAACGGCUACCACUUCCAAGGAAGGCAGCAGGCGCGCAAAUUACCCAAUCCCGGCACGGGGAGGUAGUGACGAAAAAUACGGAUACGGGACUCGUUAGAGGCUCCGUAAUUCGAAUGAGUACACUUUAAAUCCUUUAACGAGGAUCAACUGGAGGGCAAGUCUGGUGCCAGCAGCCGCGGUAACUCCAGCUCCAGAAGCGUAUAUUAAAGUUGUUGCAGUUAAAAAGCUCGUAGUUGGAUCUGGGUCGCAUGGCUACAUGCCGUUGCUCGUAUUUCUGGCCUGGUUCACACCGGGACGGAUUUAUGAGUCGGUGUCGUGGUUGUGCAGCCUUUCUGCCGUGUCUGUUUCGACAGGUGUUGGCAUGAUUGGUGGGUUCGUCCUGCUGGUCUGUUGACAUGCUUCCAGGUGCCCUUUACUGGGUGUCGGGGGCGGACGGCACGUUUACUUUGAACAAAUUUGAGUGCUCAAAGCAGGCCCGUGUGCCUGAAAAUUCUUGCAUGGAAUAAUGGAAUAGGACUUCGGUUCUAUUUUGUUGGUUUUCGGAUCCGAAGUAAUGGUUAAAAGGGACAGACGGGGGCAUUUGUAUGGCGGUGUUAGAGGUGAAAUUCUUGGAUCGCCGCCAGACAAACUACAGCGAAAGCAUUUGCCAAGGAUGUUUUCAUUGAUCUGGAGCGAAAGUCAGAGGUUCGAAGACGAUCAGAUACCGUCCUAGUUCUGACCAUAAACGAUGCCAACUGACG
rnacentral:rRNA from 1 species